CAAUUAAUUUACUUUUCAUAUUAUUUUGUGCUGGUUUCAGGUGUACAGCAUAGUAGUUAGACAAUCCUACGCCUUACAAAGUGUUCCCCCCAAUAUUUCUAGCACCCAUGUGGCACCAUACACUGCAAAUCUGUUUUAAUUUUUUAAAAAUGACAACAACCUCAGCACUCAUCAAUACAGGUAUGGUUAAACUAGAGCAAAUCACACUCUUCACUACUUUUAAAGAAUAAGGUAUAUAAUAAAUAUGCUGAUAUUAAAAGUUCAAAUGCUACCAUAAAAACAAUCAAGCUUCAUAAUAUACGGACCUUGAAUCUAUUUUUAAAAAUAGAUUUAUGGCUAUGUUCAGAAAGAAGGCUGGAAGGAUACACACCUGCUGAUUUUAUCUCCAGGGAGGAAAGGUUGGAAUGGGAGGGAUUAAUGGAGGAUACUUUAUAUUUAUUCUACAUACCUGUAUAUUGUUUGAAUAUUUUAUGAUAUUACAUGAUCACCUAAAUUUAUAAGCCUAUAACUAGAUGUACAUAUUGAAAACCUUGUCAUUAAGGUUAAGAGUCAUCAAGAAGCCCAGCAACCACACCACCAAACAAUCAUAUGUUGGUGUAUUUCUUUUCAUUUUAUGAUCAUAUACUUCAUAGACAAUAUUUUGUAUUUAACAUUUCAUAUUCUUCCAAAAAUAAUCAUUAUGUCAUGAGGAUGUUCCCUUGCCUCUUAGAAAUAAAUCUUCCUCAUCUGUUGACUAUACAAUGUAUUCACCUUAGUUAUUGAGAAAAGUAUUUCCUUCGUCUUUUAAGUGGUUUACGGUGAGAUUUAUCCUUGAAUGUCAUCUUGUCAUUGAUUAUCUUUAUAGCAUAUAUGGUCUAACUCUGGUCACUAGAGUUGACAUGUCUACUUUUUCU